UUGGUUGCUAUAGCGACGCGUGUAAUGAAUUUUGACUGAAUACACUUGAACCCAUCGCUAUCUGUUGGUUUUGAGAGACAAGGAGACACAAGAGACUUUUGGAGAGUAUUUUCUGUGCUGAAAUUGUGAUUUUUGAAGUUCGGAGGAUAUUUUCUUUGAGUUUUAUAGUUUUAUUUUUGGAGACAUUCUUCUCUUUGAAAGAGACACUUUUAUUUUACUCUUUGAGUUUUAUUUUUAUUAUUAUUUUUUUUCUUGGAGUUUGGAGGAGAUUUUCGGUGGCUCAUAUGGGUGAAAGACGAGCCUCAGGCCACUCCAGGAGUGGAACUUUCACCCAGACGGCCAGUCAGUUUGGGACACAUGGCUUUGGUGUCAAUGAUCAGGAACCACUGCCAAACCCAAACCAGCCACUGAGUCAAGAGCUACCUGGCUAUUUAGCUCCUCUGCCUUCCGAGUUGGCUUCUUCUGUGUCAACAGAUCAGACUGACAGGAAGAGGAAGUGGCAGAGCAGCAGCCAGCAAGCUCCAGAUGAUGGACAUCCAUCCACCUCAUAUAAGAGACCUGCCAAACGGUCUUGCACAGCUUUAGGCUGCUCCAGACCCAGGAGUGCAGCUUUUACUCAGACGGCCAGUCAGGAGGUUGGGACACAUGGCUUUGGUGUCAAUGAUCAGGAACCGCUGCCAAACCUAACCCAGCCUCUGAGUCAAGAGCUACCUGGCUAUUUAGCACCUCUGCCUUCCGAGUUGGCUUCUUCUGUGUCAAAAGAUUGGGCUCACAGGAAGAGAAAGUGGCAGAGCAGCAUGCAGCAAGCCCCAGAUGAUGGACAUCCAUCCACCUCAUAUAAGAGACCUGCCAAACAGUCUCUAACAGCUUCAGGCCGCUCCAGAACCAGGAGUGCAGCUUUUACCCAGACAGCCAAUCAGGAGGUUGGGACACAUGGCUCUGGUGACAACAAUGAUCAGGAACUGCUGCCAAACCUAACCCAGCCACUGAGUCAAGAGCUACCUGGCUAUUUAGCACCUCUGCCUUCCGAGUUGGCUUCUUCUGUGUCAACAGAUCGGGCUCACAAGAAGAGGAAGUGGCAGAGCGGCAUCCAGCAAGCCCCAGAUGAUGGACAUCCAUCCACCUCAUAUAAGAGACCUGCCAAACGGUCUUGCACAGAAGCAUAUGUGAAGGGCCCAUUGCUGGGGAAAGGUGGAUUUGGCUCUGUGUAUGCUGGGACCCGCAGGUCUGAUGGACUGCCAGUUGCCAUCAAGUAUGUCUCUAAAGGCAGGACGAACAAGAGGCUAAAAGUUGAAGGCCAGGGUCUGCUGCCACUGGAGGUCGCACUGAUGACCCGGGUCAAUUCCGCUCCUGCCUGCCCCAAUGUCCUGCAGCUCGUGGAGUGGUUUGACUGUCCCACUGAUUACUUCAUGAUCCUGGAACGACCAGUUUCUUGCCAAGAUCUCCAGAGUUUCUAUGAGGAGAAUGGCUGUCUGGACGAGAGCCUGGCCAAGAAAGUGCUGGUCCAGCUCAUCACUGUGCUGAAACAUUGCGAGAGCCGCGGAGUCUUGCACCGGGACGUCAAGCCACAGAACCUGCUGAUUUCCACAGCUUCACAUGACAUCAAGCUGCUGGACUUUGGUUGUGGAGACCUCCUAAAGGACUCGGCCUACACAUCGUUUUCAGAGCCACAUGGAGGGUCACCUCUAACAGCAGACUGCACUUCCCCAGAGAGCUGUCUACAGGGUCCCUGUGUGGAUGAACAUGCAGCCCCAGCUGAAAUCGGAGCCCCGAUGGGUCAGAGAUUGGCUAGUUGGGCAGAGUCUAAGGGAUCCCUGCGACUGAGGUGGCAUAGAGUACCAGCUCUGACUGAUACAGGAACCUCUGGGGCAACCAAGACAUGGAGCUCUAGGACCUCAUCAACCAUGAUGGGUAGCUUGGAGUCCAGGCUGUCCAAGAUAGGAACUUUUGUGGAAGGAACAUCUGGGGCGGCAGCUCUGACUGAGACUAACAGGACUCUCUGGGACUGGAACAGCUAAGAUGGAAAUGGCUGAGACAGGAAGCCCUAGCAGUGGCAGCAAUACCACAAGAUGCAAAUAUUGAUGCCUCAAGCCUGGUGCCAGAUGCUACCAGAGAUGGCCAGCCUCACAAGACGCUAAGAACUGGAGGGAUGGAGAGGCCACUCGUGUAAACCUGCCACAUGCUAAGCUGACUAAAGAGCACUUCCUUGGUGGCUGUGAGAGGGUGCUCUUGUCUCCACAACUUAUGGGAUGACCUAAAACAAAAAGGUUUAUUGUCUAAAAUCAGGUACCUUAAACCAGUUGUGGAGAAGGAGCCUGUCAAGAAGAAUCCUCUCUUCAGGAUCAGGAUGCAGAAAGACACUGAUCAAAUGGCUGCAUUCUGUGCAGACUAUUACCUUUAACUUCCUUUACACCUGCUCACUUUAAAAAAAAAAUAUAUAUAUUAUUCUAAGCUGCACAGUUUGGAAAAAUUCAAAUUCAAAGCAAAGGCUUUGCACAGAAACAGUUAUAACAGAAACGGUUAUAUACUGUACAUAAGGUGAAGUAUGUACGUUUUUUAUAUAUAGCUCAAUGUGUAGUGAGAGUUUGGGCUGUGGAUACUGUAGCAGGCGGAGCUAUGGGAAAAGAAAUUCAGCUUUAGUUACAGCGGUGAACGCCAAAAUUUGCUGCAUUUACUGUAUACCUUCAAAGAUUAAACGGGUCAUGAACACGUCAAAGUGAACAGAACAUUGUGAUGCUACGUGCUACAAAGCGUGCUUUAAUACCAUAUAGCAUCAUCGCGCACCCGUUCAGAAAGACACAUUUUCACAAAGACAAAUGCAACACAGCCAAAAGUAUUGGACCUGAAACAUGCCUUCACAAGAACCAGUAAGAGCUGUGUUUGUGAUGUUUAAGUUGCGAGAAAGGGGUGUUUGCAAGGUUUUUUGAAAACGUGCUUUAUUUUGUAAUUCCGCUCGGUGUCACUAGUGUCACAGAAACUACAUACUUCACUUUUAAAGGAAAGAUAAGGAACAUUUUACAUUAUAUUAAUCAUGUUUUAGGUGCUGUUAUCAUAGAUGCCAAGUCACAUGGUCAUGACUAACCAGCUCUCUUCUUAUUAAAAUUUGUACAGAAUGCAGUGAUCUGAUUAGCCAGUGCCUAACCCGGGAUCCAACAUCAAUGGAUUAGAAAUGAUCUGGAUUGGAGAAGUUCAGGAGAUUCACUCGAUCAGUGAUUUCAGGAAAUAACAUACUUACUGUCCUUGGUGGAGGGCUUGAGCUCGAAACUCGACCCAAAGCCUGAAGACCAACUCCAACCUGACAGGGAACUCAAGCCGCCACACCAGAGACCUCAGAGCCUGUCCACGUCUGAUCAAGAACAUGAGAGACUUCAAGACUGGAAAGAAGUCAUCAAGUCAUCACAGCCACAUUUGCUUUGUUUAUAAAAAUUAAUUUUUGCUUUGUUUUUAAAAGUCAAGACAUAUAGCAUAUAGACAUAUAGAGACAUAUAGACAUAUUGUUCAUAUAGCCAUGCCAUUUAAAGGCCGUUUAGUAAAGUGAUGCUAAAGUCUGAUUUUGUGGUGGCUGUGUUCUUUAAAAUUAAACUAUUAUGAUCUUAAUUUAAGUGAUGAAGGUUUUUGAAAGUCUGACAGUAAUCAGUGUUGAGAACUACUGUAAGGUUAACCCUGCCUGGUUUAAAU